rnacentral:rRNA from 1 species
UACGUAGGUGGCAAGCGUUGUCCGGAUUUACUGGGCGUAAAGAGCGCGCAGGCGGUCGAUUAAGUCGAGUGUGAAAGCCCCCGGCUCAACUGGGGAGGGUCAUUUGAUACUGGUCGACUCGAAGGCAGGAGAGGGAAGUGGAAUUCCCGGUGUAGUGGUGAAAUGCGUAGAUAUCGGGAGGAACACCAGUGGCGAAGGCGGUCUGCUGGGCAGUUGCUGACACUGAGGCGCGACAGCGUGGGGAGCAAACAGG